rnacentral:rRNA from 1 species
GAUGAACGCUAGCGGGAGGCCUAACACAUGCAAGCCGAGCGGUAUUUGUUCUUCGGAACAGAGAGAGCGGCGCACGGGUGCGGAACACGUGUGCAACCUGCCUUUAUCUGGGGGAUAGCCUUUCGAAAGGAAGAUUAAUACCCCAUAAUAUAUUGAGUGGCAUCAUUUGAUAUUGAAAACUCCGGUGGAUAGAGAUGGGCACGCGCAAGAUUAGAUAGUUGGUGAGGUAACGGCUCACCAAGUCAAUGAUCUUUAGGGGGCCUGAGAGGGUGAUCCCCCACACUGGUACUGAGACACGGACCAGACUCCUACGGGAGGCAGCAGUGAGGAAUAUUGAACAAUGGGUUAGCGCCUGAUCCAACCAUCCCGCGUGAAGGACGACGGCCCCAUGGGUUGUAAACUUCUUUUGUAUAGGGAUAAACCUACUCUCGUGAGAGUAGCUGAAGGUACUAUACGAAUAAGCACCGGCUAACUCCGUG